rnacentral:rRNA from 1 species
CCUACGGGAGGCAGCAGUGAGGAAUAUUGGUCAAUGGGCUUACGCCUGAACCAGCCAAGUCGCGUGAGGGAAGACUGCCCUAUGGGUUGUAAACCUCUUUUGUCAGGGAGCAACGCCGGCUACGUGUAGCCGGACUGAGAGUACCUGAAGAAAAAGCAUCGGCUAAAUCCGUGCCAGCAGCCGCGGUAAUACGGAGGAUGCGAGCGUUAUCCGGAUUUAUUGGGUUUAAAGGGUGCGUAGGCGGAAUGCCGAGUCAGCGGUAAAAUCGCGGGGCUCAACCUCGCUCCGCCGUUGAAACUGGCGGUCUUGAGUGGGCGAGAGGUAUGCGGAAUGCGUGGUGUAGCGGUGAAAUGCAUAGAUAUCACGCAGAACUCCGAUUGCGAAGGCAGCAUACCGGCGCCCAACUGACGCUGAAGCACGAAAGCGUGGGUAUCGAACAGGAUUAGAUACCCUAGUAGUC